rnacentral:rRNA from 1 species
AGCAGCCGCGGUAAUUCCAGCUCCAAUAGCGUAUAUUAAAGUUGUUGCAGUUAAAAAGCUCGUAGUUGAAUUUCGGGAUCAGAUUGUUGGUCGUGCCUCGGUACGCACUGGCAUUAUUGGUUCCUACCUUCUGAAGAACCGCGAUGUCAUUAAUUUGGUGUCGUGGGGAAUCAGGACUGUUACUUUGAAAAAUUAGAGUGUUUAAAGCAGGCGCACGCUUGAAUACAUUAGCAUGGAAUAAUGAAAUAGGACGUUUGAUUCUAUUUUGUUGGUUUCUAGGAUCGACGUAAUGAUUAAUAGGGAUAGUUGGGGGCAUUAGUAUUCAAUUGUCAGAGGUGAAAUUCUUGGAUUUAUUGAAGACUAACUACUGCGAAAGCAUUUGCCAAGGAUGUUUUCAUUAAUCAAGAACGAAAGUUAGGGGAUCGAAGACGAUCAGAUACCGUCGUAGUCUUAACCAUAAACUAUGCCGACUAGGGAUCGGAUGAUGUUAAUUUUUAAUGACUCAUUCGGCGCCUUAAC